GGUCAAGCUACAAAGGGCGCAGGGCGAAUGCCUUGGCAUUGGGAGCCGACGAAGGACGUGGUAAGCUGCGAAAAGCUGCGGGGAGUUGCAAACAAACUUUGAUCCGCAGAUGUCCGAAUGGAGCAAUCCGGCAUGAGUAAUAUCAUGUCAUGCCAUACUGAAUCAAUAGGUAUGGUAAGGGAACCGCCUGAACUGAAACAUCUAAGUAGGGCGAGGAAAAGAAAUCAACCGAGAUUUCGCGAGUAGUGGCGAGCGAAAGCGAAAGAG
rnacentral:rRNA from 1 species